rnacentral:rRNA from 1 species
AACAGGAUUAGAUACCCUGGUAGUCCACGCCGUAAACGAUGUCGACUUGGAGGCUGUUCCCUUGAGGAGUGGCUUCCGGAGCUAACGCGUUAAGUCGACCGCCUGGGGAGUACGGCCGCAAGGUUAAAACUCAAAUGAAUUGACGGGGGCCCGCACAAGCGGUGGAGCAUGUGGUUUAAUUCGAUGCAACGCGAAGAACCUUACCUACUCUUGACAUCCAGAGAAUUUAGCAGAGAUGCUUUAGUGCCUUCGGGAACUCUGAGACAGGUGCUGCAUGGCUGUCGUCAGCUCGUGUUGUGAAAUGUUGGGUUAAGUCCCGCAACGAGCGCAACCCUUAUCCUUUGUUGCCAGCACGUAAUGGUGGGAACUCAAAAGAGACUGCCGGUGAUAAACCGGAGGAAGGUGGGGAUGACGUCAAGUCAUCAUGGCCCUUACGAGUAGGGCUACACACGUGCUACAAUGGCGCAUACAAAGAGAAGCGACCUCGCGAGAGCAAGCGGACCUCAUAAAGUGCGUCGUAGUCCGGAUUGGAGUCUGCAACUCGACUCCAUGAAGUCGGAAUCGCUAGUAAUCGUAAAUCAGAAUGUUACGGUGAAUACGUUCCCGGGCCUUGUACACACCGCCCGUCACACCAUGGGAGUGGGUUGCAAAAGAAGUAGAUAGCUUAACCUUCGGGAGGGCGUUUACCACUUUGUGAUUCAUGACUGGGGUGAAGUCGUAACAAGGUAACCGUAGGGGAACCUGCGGCUGGAUCACCUCCUU